rnacentral:rRNA from 1 species
CCUACGGGAGGCAGCAGUGGGGAAUUUUGGACAAUGGGGGCAACCCUGAUCCAGCAAUGCCGCGUGAGUGAAGAAGGCCUUCGGGUUGUACAGCUCUUUUGUCAGGGAAGAAACAGCAGCUCUAACACAGACUGCGAAUGACGGUACCUGAAGAAUAAGCACCGGCUAACUACGUGCCAGCAGCCGCGGUAAUACGUAGGGUGCGAGCGUUAAUCGGAAUUACUGGGCGUAAAGCGUGCGCAGGCGGUUAUACAAGACAGGCGUGAAAUCCCCGGGCUUAACCUGGGAAUGGCGUCUGUGACUGUAUAGCUAGAGUGUGUCAGAGGGGGGUGGAAUUCCACGUGUAGCAGUGAAAUGCGUAGAUAUGUGGAGGAACACCAAUGGCGAAGGCAGCCCCCUGGGAUAACACUGACGCUCAUGCACGAAAGCGUGGGGAGCAAACAGGAUUAGAUACCCUGGUAGUCCACGCCCUAAACGAUGCUGACUAGUUGUUGGGAAUUUACAUUCUCAGUAACGUAGCUAACGCGUGAAGUCGNGCGCCGUUGGGAGGUAGGUUCGCGAGAGUUAACUUACAANAGAGUUAGAGGNGNGAGAGNGCGAGGACGACGACGAGGAGUAGG